rnacentral:lncRNA from 1 species
GAAUAUUUGAUCCUUCCCCACUAAUUGUAUGUUUUUCUUGUCUCCUGGCAGUCGGCACAAAAGCUCUGAAGUACGUGACAUACGACAAAGAGAACACCCAAAUCUGCUGUGCCAUAUGAUCAGCUCACAUUGCAGUGGGCAUGUUCCUGGCUGCACAGAGCCUCCCAGCCAUCACACAAUUCCCUGCUUCCUGAUGGGAAUGUGUGCCUCUGCUUUAACUCUCUGCAGGUUCAGGCUGGUGAGCUGUGGGCUGAAGCAUCUUUCCCAAGUGAGAGAAAUAGCAGGAAGAGAACAAUGCAAUAUUUUGUGGCUAGAAGCCCAUGUUAAUUAUUCUGAAGGUCUGCAGAGAGAUCUCCACUAUUGUUGCACACAGAAGAGCUGGUACCCUACCUGUUCACCACCACUGAUGCAGCUGACAGUGUCAUGAUCUUAAAUUUGCUUAAUUAUUUUUUUUAAUUCCCUGAUCUUUCCAUCUUUGUGCAAUUGUGUGUUUGCUGUGCUUGGAAUUUGAACAGGUAUUUUGGAACUGGAUGGUUGGUGUUAUGUUUCUGGACAUCAGGGUCAAGAAAUGUUACCUGAUCAUCAAAGUGGGUUUUUUUGAGGGGAGGAGGCUGUGUUGUGAUGGAACAGGAAUGCUUAUUUUUAACCUUUCACCCCUAGGAAUUGGUGAAAACAACAAAGAUUUGCUCAAUUUCUCAGUUUACCUGCUUUUAUCAUUGAUGUAAUGAGAGAAUCAGAGAAAAAUCCCUGUCACCAGCACAUUGCAGCCAGUGUGGGGUGCAGGAUGGGUGUGCUGGGGCUUGGUGGGGUUGCUGUGGGAGGAAACCUUCAGGGGGAUGAAGAAGCCACAGCAGGAGCUCGCUGCCUGCACCAGGAGUGGGGUGUGUGGGCAUGAGCUUGUCUGGGAGCUGGAAGAGCAGAGGAGGUCAGGACCAGCCAAAAGUGAGAAACUCUCCCUUUGCCCAUAGGGACCAAAGUGAUUUUGGGAGCCUGAGGGGUUUUAUUUGGAUGUGCUGCAGCGUGGAAUUCUGUAGGAAUAACCAAAGAGACACAUGGAAUCCUUGCUGUUUAUUCAAAGUACUGCUGCUUGCAAUACUACAAUACUACAAGCAUAACCACCAACACACUGAUAAUCUCCUAAAUUCCAUCUCUCUCUGACCUCCUGGGCUGUUUUUAUGGACAUGUUCUUCUCUAAAAGCUGAAAGAACCCAAAUGACUCCUUGUGUUCCUGUGCCAGACAGUGAAAUUCCUGGGAAAUGGGUUAAAUUGUCCCUGUACUGAUCAGAAAAAGUAUGACUGAAGAGAGAAAUUCUACAGCAACAACGUUGUUUUUAAUCAGAUUUUUAUUAAGUGGAGGAGCAGAUUUAACAGUUUGGUUCUCAUGAGAGAUCUUAUUUAGUUUAUUUUCAAUUCACACUUCAGACUUG